rnacentral:rRNA from 1 species
GUGGGGAAUAUUGGACAAUGGGGGCAACCCUGAUCCAGCCAUGCCGCGUGAAUGAUGAAGGCCUUCGGGUUGUAAAGUUCUUUUGGAGGGGACGAUGAUGACGGUACCCUCAGAAUAAGCUCCGGCUAACUUCGUGCCAGCAGCCGCGGUAAUACGAAGGGAGCUAGCGUUGUUCGGAAUUACUGGGCGUAAAGGGCGCGUAGGCGGUUUGGUUAGUCAGAUGUGAAAGCCCAGGGCUUAACCAUGGAACUGCGUUUGAUACUGCCAAGCUUGAAUUCGGGAGAGGUGAGUGGAAUUCCCAGUGUAGAGGUGAAAUUCGUAGAUAUUGGGAAGAACACCGGUGGCGAAGGCGGCUCACUGGACCGACAUUGACGCUGAGGCGCGAAAGCGUGGGGAGCAAACAGGAUUAGAAACCCCAGUAGUCC